UGGGGAAUUUUGGACAAUGGGCGCAAGCCUGAUCCAGCCAUGCCGCGUGCGGGAUGAAGGCCUUCGGGUUGUAAACCGCUUUUGUCAGGGAAGAAACGCUCUGGGCUAAUACCCCGGGGUAAUGACGGUACCUGAAGAAUAAGCACCGGCUAACUACGUGCCAGCAGCCGCGGUAAUACGUAGGGUGCAAGCGUUAAUCGGAAUUACUGGGCGUAAAGCGUGCGCAGGCGGUCUUGUAAGACAGAGGUGAAAUCCCCGGGCUCAACCUGGGAACUGCCUUUGUGACUGCAAGGCUUGAGUGCGGCAGAGGGGGAUGGAAUUCCGCGUGUAGCAGUGAAAUGCGUAGAUAUGCGGAGGAACACCGAUGGCGAAGGCAAUCCCCUGGGCCUGCACUGACGCU
rnacentral:rRNA from 1 species